rnacentral:rRNA from 1 species
AACGAACGCUGGCGGCAGGCUUAACACAUGCAAGUCGAACGCCCCGCAAGGGGAGUGGCAGACGGGUGAGUAACGCGUGGGAAUCUACCUAGUUCUACGGAACAACAGAGGGAAACUUCUGCUAAUACCGUAUACGCCCUAAGGGGGAAAGAUUUAUCGGAAUUAGAUGAGCCCGCGUAAGAUUAGCUAGUUGGUGGGGU